CCAAGGUUGCUUGCUAAAAUUUUAUUUGGAAGUGACUUUGACAAAAGGUCAACGGAAAUGACAAUCUUUAUCGCAGUUGGUAUUCCUGUGUUUUUAUGACCGAUGUUUUGGGACGGGGCUAGUAGACAAGUGAGCUGCGACAAGUAGGAACAUAUGACAUCAUUCAUUCACUCUUUUGCUGCCUUGUUUUUGUGGGACUCUUUCCAGCAAGAUGGAAUCCGGAACAAGAACGUUCUGAGAAACAUGAAGCUCUUCACUCAAGCUAAAAUUGAAGCUGGACAACUAAAGAGAUGAGAUGUUCACUGACCAGAGUAAUGGUAGUCAUUUGAUUCUAUCUGAAGAUAUAGAGCCAGCUUUUGAUAAGGCUGCCAAGAUCCUGGAGAUGAGCAGAACUCUAUGAACUUGGAAACCGCUUAGAUAAGGAGAUGAACCAUACAAAUGAGCGCUUGCCUUUUGUGCAAGAUACUUUUGCAGCCAGAAAAGAGUUUGAUUUUACAAAAUCUCUUCAAGAUCGUCCUAAAGGAUGCAAUUGACUUCGAAGACGUUACAGCAAGCAUUCAAAAUACAUUGUUUGCUUCACUGAGCAGCCUAUCCUGUAUGAACAGGAUAUGAAGUGAACUGUCUCAUCCUGCGAGGCUAUUGACGAGAAACGAAAAUUAAGGAUGCGGAUGGAAGUAAUAAUCUCUGUUGAAGGUUAGAUCCUAAGAUACCUGAAAAAGAUUGGUGAGGGCAACUAUUAUACUAUACAGACACCUCUCCUGAAUUGGUAAGCCAUGUUUCCAGGGAUUUGAAAAUGUGCUUAACAUUCUAGAACUCAUCUUGACCUCUGUGAUAGAUGUGAGAUGUAGCCCUCAUAUUCAGAAUCGGUCUAGUCUGACCUACUAUGAAAAUAAUCGUGAUGUUGGUGAACAACCUUUUUUCUUGCUCUCCUUAACUACAUUUUGGAUGUCUUAAAGUUCUGCCGUCUAGCAAAUUAUUGCCAGCCAGAAGCCAUCCUUUUUUUAUAUAGAUCUAGUGCCCUGAUAUCAGAGCUACAUUUAAGAAUGCCAAUACAAGCAUAACCAUUCCCCUAAUCAACCCCUUAGUGAGUUACUAUAUUACUAUACUAUAAACCCCAAGCUGCAUUUUCUUCUAGACACGCCCCUGACUUGCCAUGCCAUGCCUUGUUUAAUAAUAAAGUAAGAAAAAUUCUAGAUGUUGAUAUAAUCCAGAUUAUACUUAUGCAUUACUUAUCAGGCCCGUAACCAGGUUUUUUCUUGGGGGGAGGGGGGGUGGGGGAUGCGAAAUCCGAAAAAGUGGACCUAAUGAAAAAUGACGAAAUAAUAUUGACCUAAAAGGUAUGCCAUUAAGUUGUAUUCUCUAUGCCGACGACUUAGUUAUCCUAUCAAAAUCAGCAAAGGGCCUGCAAUAAUAUCUGAAUAGCCUCGAAGAAUAUUGCAAAGCAUCCGAAAUAUCCAUCAAUUUAGAUAAAACAAAAGUGAUGAUUUUUAAUAACAACGGGAAAACUAUGAAUAAUUACCGAAUCAUUUACGGAACCUAUAAAAUAGAAAAUGUCAAAAGUUAUCUUGGACUCCAUUUUUGCCCUUAUGGAAAUUUUAAUUUGGCUAAGGAGGAGCUAAAAAAAGUAGCAUUAAAAGCGAUGUUCAAGUUUAGAAAAGAAAUGGGAAGGCACUUCAGACAAGAUAUCAAACUAACUCUCCGCCUUUUUGACACCUUGAUACAACCAAUCCUACUUUAUGGAAGCGAAAUAUGGGGAGUGGACUGUAAGGGAAAGUUAGAAAAAGAUCCAAUAGAAAUGGUCCACACUAAGCUUCUAAAAUGGCUUCUCGGCGUAAACCGAUACUGUAGCUCGAACCGUGUAGGGCUGAAUUAGAACGAUUCCCUCUCAGAACAAAAGCAAAGUGUAGAGCGAUCAAACUUUGGCUUAAACUUUCACACAACAAUGGGAAUAACAAAAAACUCUCCCGCAAAGCAUUCUCUUCCAUAUCUAAUUAUGGAAACAAGAACUUUUGGCAAAAAGUACUUGACCUUGCGGGUAGGAGCGAUAUUUGGCUGACUGGCACAAACACUCCCGAAGCAACAUACAGUUAUCUUCAACAAAGGCUUUAUGACAUUGAACAACAGACAUGGCUCAGCUCUAUUCAAAAUGACAACAGAAAAGACCAAGACCAAAUUGCGUACGCUCAGAAAAUUUAAACUGUCCCACAAUUUAGAUUAUCUAACGGACGUAAAAAAUAUUGACCAUGGGAUUACCCUUACUAGGCUAAGCAAUCACAAGCUAGCAAUUAAAACUGAAAGGUAUGAAAAGCCAUACAAAAAACCUAACGAAAGCAAAUGCUUAGUAUGCCAGACAGGUAAAAUUGAAGGAUGAAGAGAAUUUUCUGUUAGAAUGUCCGGCCUAUAAAAAUGAUCGGGAUGAUUUACUGGAAUUCCUUAAAACGCAUGCAGGUGUCAAUGUUAGACCCCAUGCCAACAAAGAAAAUAAUUUCGUCAGAAUUAUGGAAUUGAGCCGGAAUGAAAACGUGAAUCGGCGCUUAGCGAAACAUAUUUUUGAAUGUAUGAAGACAAGAAAUGUGAAACUUCAUGACAACGUACAGGGAGGUCACCUAAUCCUCCUAAACAA